UACGAAGGUGGCAAGCGUUGUUCGGAUUUACUGGGCGUAAAGGGAGCGUAGGUGGUGCGGUAAGCCCUCCGGGAAAGCUUCAGGCUUAACCUGAAAAGGUCGGGGGGACUGCCGCGCUAGAGGACGGGAGAGGAGCGCGGAAUUCCCGGUGUAGCGGUGAAAUGCGUAGAGAUCGGGAGGAAGGCCGGUGGCGAAGGCGGCGCUCUGGAACGUUUCUGACACUGAGGCUCGAAGCGUGGGAGCAAACAGG
rnacentral:rRNA from 1 species